rnacentral:rRNA from 1 species
UGGGGAAUCUUGGACAAUGGGCGCAAGCCUGAUCCAGCCAUGCCGCGUGAGUGAAGAAGGCCUUCGGGUUGUAAAGCUCUUUUACCAGGGACGAUAAUGACGGUACCUGGAGAAUAAGCCCCGGCAAACUUCGUGCCAGCAGCCGCGGUAAUACAGAGGGUGCGAGCGUUAAUCGGAAUUAUUGGGCGUAAAGGGAGCGUAGGCGGAUGUGCAAGUGAUAUGUGAAAUACCCGGGCUUAACCUGGGGAGGUCAUAUCAGACUGCACGUCUAGAAUGUGGUAGAGGAAGGUGGAAUUCCUGGUGUAGCGGUGAAAUGCGUAGAUAUCGGGAGGAACACCUGUGGCGAAGGCGGCCACCUGGUUGGAUACUGACGCUGAGACGCGAAAGCGUGGGGAGCAAACAGGAUUAGAUACCCAGGUAGUCCCUGAGCGGGCUGGCAAGGCGCAU